rnacentral:rRNA from 1 species
AGCGAACGCUGGCGGCAGGCCUAACACAUGCAAGUCGAACGCACCGCGAGGUGAGUGGCGCACGGGUGAGUAACACGUGGGAAUGUAUCCUUUGGUUCGGAAUAACGUCUGGAAACGGACGCUAAUACCGGAUGAGCCCUUAGGGGGAAAGAUUUAUCGCCGAAAGGAGCAGCCCGCGUCUGAUUAGGUAGUUGGUGGGGUAAAGGCCUACCAAGCCGACGAUCAGUAGCUGGUCUGAGAGGAUGAUCAGCCACACUGGGACUGAGACACGGCCCAGACUCCUACGGGAGGCAGCAGUGGGGAAUAUUGGACAAUGGGCGCAAGCCUGAUCCAGCCAUGCCGCGUGAGUGAUGAAGGCCUUCGGGUUGUAAAGCUCUUUCGCACACGACGAUGAUGACGGUAGUGUGAGAAGAAGCCCCGGCUAACUUCGUGCCAGCCGCCGCGGUAA